ensembl:lncRNA
CUCAGUGUUAUUCAGGACCCUGAAGGAAAAUGGCGCCACAGUCAGGAUCACACGGUCAUGUGGCGCAGGAUGAUCACGUCACUGUCCUGGACACGUGCUCUCAGCUUACCAACAGGUGUGAUCAUGUUGUGGUUUUUGACCAGAACUUGCCAGAAGCUGUUCUCAGUUUUGGUAAUAAUAUUAUUACCAAAAGUCACCCGGGUCAAAUAGGGUGGCAUUCCAAAUUUGCUUCCACAUUCGAAACUGUAACGAGGACACGGAAAUAUACAACAGAUUAUGUGGAGGAAGUAAACUGGGAUGCAGGACUCCAUUACAAUGCACCAGAUGAUUGAUGAAUGAGGGUUGAGGACCAAAAAGGGAUACAUUUUGACUACACAACCUACUUGAAGCUUGAGACUGAAUCUUUCAAAUCAUUCAACGCCCACAGGAGUCGCUGGUCGCAGUCCGUAGUAGGUUUGUAUUCAAUACUCUUGCCAUCAGCAGUCACCACCAGUUUAAAGUUCACUUCAACAGCACAAGGAAAACAUAAGGAGCAAGUAGUAGACAUAUAGCUAUGGAUGAGUAAUGAAUAGACUCUUAAUGUUUGUCCAAAAUCCGAUGGCUAACCCUUGCCCUAAAAGUCAGAGGUGGUGUAUCUCCUACCUUGAGCCAUGUCUAGAAGGUUGAUCUUCACUGGUUCUGUUCUUCUGCAGCAAUGGGAAUCGUUGGUGAGGUUACUGCUCUUGGGGCCCCUGAUUUUAUAUUCAACCUCAGGGAAGACGUCAUGGCAAGGGGAUAACCACCCAGACUAGUUCUUGGGCAAUAUGCCCGGGAACUGGCUUCCAAGUAAUUAUUACAACACCAUUACACAGAUAAACAACUCUCUUGGUCAUUACCUUGGAAAGUCAUCCAACCCGGAUGACUUUGAUGUGUUUGUGAAAUAUCCUACGUUGUUUCUUCAUCUCUUCUUGCAGUCAAGUGUUUAAACCUCAACCUGCCAUUGGUUCUGCAUCCUAACGCUGAACAAUUCAAUUAAAUAAAACACAGGGUCAAGAGGUUUACAACAUUAUAGACAUAACCGUCUUAUCUCAUUAAUGUUCUCGUCAUGAUCUCUAUUUCUGUGUGUAGUUGCUAACAUAAGUCUGUUCUCUGGUCCUCCAUGUGUAAAUAUGAUUUAAUUUGGACUGGGGCGCUGUUUCUAC